ensembl:snoRNA SNORD25 Small nucleolar RNA SNORD25
CCUCCCUGUGAUGAGGACCCCUUCACAGACCUGUGCUGAGCUCCGUGAGGACGAGUAGCUCUGAGGAGCC